GCUGAAGGUGUUGAUUUCAUUGCUGUAUCUUUUGUCAAGUCUGCUGAAGUGAUCAAUCACCUUAAAAGCUAUAUUGCAGCACGGUCUCGCGAUAUUUCUGUUGUGGCAAAGAUAGAGAGUAUUGACUCUCUAAAGAACUUGGAAGAGAUCAUCCUUGCAUCAGAUGGAGCAAUGGUAGCAAGAGGUGACCUAGGUGCUCAGAUACCAUUGGAACAGGUCC